rfam:Oxytricha trifallax strain JRB310 Contig20828.0 macronuclear, whole genome shotgun sequence.
GUUCCUGUAGCACAAUCGGUAGCGCGUUGGUCUUAUGAACCAAAGGUCGUGGGUUCGAUUCCCACCUGGAACA